AUUGAACGCUGGCGGCAGGCCUAACACAUGCAAGUCGAGCGAGCGGCGGACGGGUGAGUAAUGUAUGGGGACUGCCCGAUAGAGGGGGAUAACUACUGGAAACGGUGGCUAAUACCGCAUACUAUCGGAUAACCCAUAUGGGAUUAGCGAGUAGGUGGGGUAAAGGCUCACCUAGGCGACGAUCUCUAGCUGGUCUGAGAGGAUGAUCUGCAACACUGGGACUGAGACACGGCCCAGACUCCUACGGAGGCAGCAGUGGGGAAGAUUGCACAAUGUGCGCAAGCCUGAUGCAGCCAGGCAGCGUGGAUGAAGAAGGCCUUAGGGUUGUAAAGUACUUUCAGCGGGGAGGCGUUACCCGCAGAAAGCCACGUCUAACUACGUGCCAGCAGCCGCGGUAAUUC
rnacentral:rRNA from 1 species